CUGUUCAGCCUGGACAAAAGAUGCUCAGAGAUAUCUAAGUCAGUAUAGAUAUCUGAAGGGAGGGUGUAGGGAAGAUGCAUCCAGGCUCUUUCCGAUAGUGCCCAGCGCCAGGACAAGAGGCAGUGGGCACAGACUGGACCAUGAGAGGUUCUGACUAAACAUCACUUUGCUGUGCGGGUGACCGGGCACUGCCACAGGCUGCCCACAGAGGCUGUGCAGGCUCCCUUCGUGGAGACCUUUAAGAGCCUCCUGGAUGUGGUCCUGGGCAACCUGCUUGAGGAGGGCGUUGGAGCAGGUGACCUCCAGAGGUCCCUUCCAACCCUAACCAUUCUGUGCUUCUGGGAUCUGAUAGUUGGGUAGGAUCACAGAAUGGUUUGGGCUGGAAGGACCCUUAAGGACCACCCAGUUCCAACCCGCUGCCAUGGGCAGGACACCUCCCACCAGACCACGCUGCCCAAAGCCCCAUGCAGCCUGGCCUGAAAUACGUCCAGGGAUGGGGCAUCCACAGCUUCUCUGUUUCAGUGCCUCACCACCUUCACAGUAAAGAGUUUCUUCCUUAUAUCCAGUCAAAAUAUACUCCCUUUUAGUUUAAAGCCAUCGUCACUACAGGCCCUGGUAAAAAAGCCUUUCUCCCUCUUUCCUGUAGAUACCAGAAGGCUGCUGUAAGGUCUCCUCAGAGCCUUCUCUUCUCCAGGCUGAACAACCCCCACUCCCUCUGCCUGUCUCCACAGGAGAGGUGCUCCAGACCUCUUAUCAUCCUUGUGGCCCUCCUCUGGGCCUGCCUUCACAGGUCCGUGUCUCUCUUGUGCUGGGGCCUCAGCGGUGUAUGGGCCAGUCCGUGCAGGUUCAGAGCUGGUGUCUGGGAACACAUGACAGGAAGUGCUGAGUUUGGGAUUCACAUUGCAGAGAGCUGGGAGGAAAAAAAAAAGCUUAAUUACAAGGUACCCCUCCCAUAAACAUCUCCCAGACAAAACCACAAAGUUUUAUUGAUAACAGUCUACUUAUCUACAGGCAGUGUAGCCGAUAAGCUUCCUGUCUGCUCAGACAGACCGAAUAUAGCACACCUUAUGAAAAAAUUUAGAGCUGUCUCCAAUACUCAAAUAUUUCUACUUCACUUCUCAUCUUUUAUUUAUUUAUUUAUCUGUUUUAUUUAUUUAUUUAUUAAAUCUUUGAUAUGACCAGAGUUUUCGUUCUCCUGGGGCAAAUGCAGUUCUAGUCUGUAGCCGAAGAGGUGAGGAAAUGGAAAUGCCAGUUUAUAUGGCUGGGAAUAGAUGGUGCUAACAGGAGGGUUAAAAACAGCUGAAUGUUUCUGACCUGUAUGUCAUAUUUCUGCGUGUGUACACAGACAUAUGCACAAGCACACAAGUGCAAAUGUGUGCCUGUCCUCACACCUUUCUGCCAUUCAUAAAACUUUGACUGCAAGCUAUUCUGGCACAGUCAUUGCAAAACAGCAAGGGCAGUCUGUAGCUGCUGUGGCAGCAUUCACAUGCUUACUUCUACUCCUGUGGCUAGCAUGUGGAUCUCCCUGAAACAGAAUAGAAGAAGUCAAAGCUAACUCCUGCCAUAUUUUUAGUAUGCAGCUGAACAAAUUCCUACAGCUUCUAAGGAUCAAGGAGAUUGCUGAGCAAGGCCAAUCCAGCCCUGAACGCUUCCAGGGAUGGGGCAUCCACAAAUUCUCUGGGCAACCUGUUCCUGUGCCUCACCACCCUUAUAGCAAAUUAUUUCUUCCA
rnacentral:lncRNA from 1 species